GUAUCUGAUUCAGUAGACAGGCAGUGGGAAGAUGUGGAAAGAUUUAGAGAAGAUGAGUGAUACAAUCCAAACGUUCGUCUAGGAAGGAUGAUCUAGUAACAGUGGAAGAUUUAAAGAAGAAAAUGCCUGCUGACUGUAAAACCAGGCAGGUGGUUAUUCCUGGCACAAGGUGACAAAACGCAAAAAGUGGCGAGUAGCAGUGACAGUUAGGAGAGGAUGAAUGGGAAAUAUAUUUUAGAAAUAUGCUUAACUACAUUGGGUGGCUGGGUGACUGUGAGGAAUUAGGCAGAGAACGGUGGGCUAGAGGAAGAUUCUAGGGGCUGGAGACCAUGGCAGAAACACAUCGUUAGGAGUUAAGAGGAAUAGGGAAGGAGGAACAAGUUUAGGAGGAAAUAUGAUAAAUUUGAUUUUGAACUUACAACUUAUGGGGCUGCAUGAGUCAUGAAGAACAAGGAAAAACUCUGGGAGUUCGUUAUGGUGGGUCGAUAAGGACGUGACUAACUCCUGUUCACGUAAGGCUGGAGCUUAGGAAUAUUCAGUGAUGGUUAUAGAAAAUAUAAAAUAAUAAAAAAUUAUUAAGCAUCUGCUAAGUAUCAAGAACUAAGGUAAACUCUUCUAUGCAAUUUAAAAAGACAUAUUCUUCAUAAUAGUUCCAUGAGGUAGUCACUAUUAGCUUGAUUUUCUUGAAUAACAAACAGACCUAUUAAAUAACUUGCCCGAGGAUACGCAGCUGAUAGGUGGCAAAACUGCAGUUAGGAACCUGGUUCAUCUGACUUCAGAGGCCACUUGAGUUAGUGGCAAAUCUGCUUUUCUCUUAACACUAUGACUUUCUAUCCUUGUCUGUUGUCGAUAAUGCAGGUUUAGAGAUUUUAUUUAUGAUGCUGAGAAACAACUUGGGAUACGUGUAGCUCUAAACACCCAGAACUAAUAAAAUUACAUUGAUCUGUAGCAUUUCAGAAGCACAGGGCGAAGCACUAUCCAAAGCAUCUCCAGCUUCUUUUGCCAAUUUAGCAGUAAUUAGGUCUAGGGAGUCCUGUGUUCCAACCAUAUCUAGAAGAUUAUGCUUUCACAGCCAUGCUUCCAAUUAUAUUUUGAAGAUCGUUUUCAUUACCAUCCCAGGAAGGAGGCUACGUAAGCUUGUUUUCCUCCCAUUAUUCUAACUGGAAUAAACAUGGCUUUAUUUAAAGAAAAACAAACUAGCAACGACCCCAAAUACUUCUUAACAAAAUAUUUUACCUUUGUUUCUGGGCAUGAAAAUGAUGGUUGCUAAGAGAUCCAGAAAGUGAAAAGCAAAAUGAGACAAAGGAGACUGAAAUAAUGUUUGCCUGGUUACUCAGAACAGCAUGCAGUGACUUUGUUUACUUUUCCUUCUUCCCCCUUUUUAAUGAACUGGUGAUGUUUUUAAAAUUUCCAAAUGAAUAUAAAUACCACCACAGUGCUAUUGACCUAUUUAUGUCCCCUGGAUAUUUCUAACUGAAUUAUGACAUCCAAACCAUAAUAAAACUUAAAUGUUUCCAAUACCAGCAAGAAGAUAUUUUCUCUUGCUUUCUUUUUUUAAAAGCUGCCAUUUGGAAAAAGUACUUUGGUGUUACUCCAAACCUUUGGAAACCUCUUCUUGGGAAUCUCCUAUUGGGAUGUCUGAUGAAGGGAAAUGAUGGAACUGAUCAUAAACCUGAUUCAGCUUUGGAGAUUGGUGCAUGUUGGGUGCACUAAUUACUGAGUUACACCUGCAAGCAUUUACAGCUUUUAGUAACCAUGGUUCAGUAAUAUAAUAAAUAUUUACUAGUAUGUAUGUUUGAGAAAAAGUUGUAAAGGCCUCUUUUGAAUGCGUAGUCUCUUUAAGAUCUCACAUGCAAGACUAGUGAAGACCUCCAAGGGCCUUGACUGUUGCUCAAUAUCAUGGUGGCAUUCAGUUUGAAUAUUUUAGAGACAUACAAACAAGCGAUUAGAUCAAAUAAUUGCUUUUAUCAGGUUCAAAGCAUUGGGAAAUCAAGAUGUUUGUCCAAGAUACCACUGGAUCAAGCUUUUCUUCAAACCAACAGAGGAGUUAUCAUUUCAUUUUUUUUUUUUGCCAGAAGUAGAUAUAUGAGAAAUAUUUUUUUUUGCCCUUUAAAACUAAAAGCAGUAUUUAGGGUUUGCAACCCAAAUAUUCCCUCCCCAGCUUCUUGCAGUGUAUUUACCUUAUAAUAUGGCAAUCAAGGAGCUGAUCACACUGAUAGAGACAAUUCUUCAUUUUUGCUUCUGAGUGGUAUUUCACAUACUGCAAAUUUAGGAAGAAACAUUGUCCAUUGCCGACCAGCCAAAUUAAUUAUACUGUAUUGAUUGAAAGCAAAAGAGAUUGAUUACUUGCAUGGUUGUUGUAAAGGUAUCUUACAAGCUGGCAGAAUUUAAGAUGAGAUGAGAAUUAAGUUCCAAAUGCACCAAGAACUCCAAAAAAGAAAUCUAUUCAUAAACAAACGAUAGGAUAUCAAACUCUUCAGGCAAGGGAAAGAGCAAUGGCUUAUGUUGGUCCUUCAAGGGACGUGCAGAGUGGAAGAGAGAGAUACUGACUAUCAAGAUAUGAACAUAAUGGAUACUUUCAUUGGGGACAGCCUGUAAAGUGAUAGAGAUCCUUUCCCUUCAGAUCCCAGUUUGUUCAGGAACCUAUGAACACAUAUGCGGAAUUUUCCAACAACAAUUUCCAAUAUCCCAGUAAAAAAUAUUCAAAUACCACAAAUUUUAGGUAAAUUUUUAUUGUAUGAAAAGAGCAUGGGUUUAGGAUUAGAGAAAACUGGGUUGGAAUCCUGACACCCCCAUCUAUUCUGACCCAACAGAAUAUAUUCAGUUUUUCAGUCUCAUGGGAAAGAGCAUCGUAAGUUGACAUCACUGCCUGUUAGGAGGAUUAAAUAAGACAUAUUGUCACAGUAUGUAUUCCAGUAAGACUGGUUGUCAUAGACAUACUAUAUUCUUUUCCAUGACAUCAUUCCUCCCAUCUCUUCUGCCUAAAGCACAUGUAUGCGUGUGAACAGGAGAAAGCCCAUAGAGAGGGAAAUAUUGAGUGCUCAGAAACCAGAGGGAUAACCCUAUUUCAAGAUCUCUAGAGAGGCAAAGUGGUAUGGGAUGUAGAACAGGGUGGGAGAUAGACUGCAGGAGCAGGACAGGUUUCAACACUGGGGCCACAGUCAUCUUGAUUGACCUACUUGCUCCGUCAUUUAUUAGCUAUGGGGCCCUGGGAAAGUUCCUUUACUUCUUGUAGUGUUGAUUUUAUUAUUUGAGAAACUGGGAUAAUAAGAGACUAAUUAACUGCUUGUUUAUAAAGCACUUAGCACAAUCUGGCACCUAACGCUUACUUAAUUCCUAUUGGUCAUCGUCUUCAUCGUCAUCAUCAUCGUUAUUAUCAUUUUAAUUAUUUAAUUAUUUUCUUCUACGUAAACUUAAAUAGGAAAGGAUGUUUCUGGAUGCAAAGUGCUGAUUUCUGAUGGCUUUUAUGUUAACCGUGAGGCAGGAGAUAAUGCCUGCUACUCCGCUUUGGAGGGAGACCAGAGGAAAAGGCAGAAGAGUUGACCCUUAUGAAGCAGGGAGAUUGAAAAUCAUUUACAAAGACAAAAACAAUACGAGUGAUUUUUCAUUUUAUUUACCAAUCCCCUGUCCCCCAAAUAAUGGAUGAUGAAUGUUUUGUAACUGUUGAGCUACUUUUUAAAAAUUGACCUAUUUGACAGAAGCAGCCGUUUCUUUUACUACUGCAGUUUGCUCAUACAUAGAAAAAAAAAUUUAUGAAUUAGUAUUAGCAUUCAUCCUGAAAUAUAGAAAAACUCCACAAUUGCCAUUACUAAAAAUAUUUUUUAUUCACAGGCAAUGUCUAAAUUCUCAAACGUUCCCGUUUUUAAAUCUCUGUACUUCACAUACCAUCCUUCUUUAGCGGUUUAGACUUUUUUUUAAAAUGACUCUUUAUUUUGAUGAGACUUCCAAACUAACGCUAAACUAUGUUUUCAGAGAGACAGGUUUUAAGAAUCAGAAUAACAAACCAAGCUUCUGUUUAAUGCAAAGUUAAUGUUACUACAGUUUAAUCAUGCCCUCUCCACACCUGCUUCCCGGGCUUCUGCCAUAGCGUUUUUUCAAGGAUUUUGGAUCUCCGUAUGUUUUUCCCUUCUGGUCUUUGUCAAUGGUUUUCAUAAUUGGUUAAGAUGAGAUAGUUAGAAAAUGACCUGUGAACGGCAGGAAAAACCACUUUAACUGGUAAUUUAGCUGAACCUUUAACUAUUUCAGCUAUGUCAUUGAGCAAACAGAUUCGAGAACUGACGGAGAGUCUGUUCUAAGAAUGUUUUGAUCCCUGCCCCCUUCCCACCCAUGCAACUAUGGAUGCCUAGUCCAAGAUAAAAAGGGCCAGGGACAACAUUGUGUUCACCAUCAUAGAGUUGAUUAAAACUUCACUGAGGCAAGCACCAAUGUUUAGAAAGCCUUGAGUACAGUUAGACUGUAAGUUCCUUGAGGACCAGAAGUGGUAAACAUCAUUGGACUCCUCAUUUCUAAUACAUCACAUGGCCUAGCACACAGAGGUGCACAGCAGAUACUGGUGAAUAAAUGGCGACUUAUGAGAAAUUUAGAUAUUUCUUCUAUCUACCUCUUCCUUACACACAUCUUAUUAGCAGACCUAAUUCAAAUUUGAACCAUCUCGGGUUUCUGUCUUCAUUGCAAAGGCCCAUCUGGGCUCAUCAAUCUCACCCUCUUCACCAAACAACUUGAGUCACACAGCAUAUGGUUAGUAAUUUAUCACCUUUAAAAAAGCAAAACUCAGCUAGGGAGUAAUUGCAGUCCAGAAAAUCUCAUUAGUAUAGUACAGCAAGUCCAAUCCUCCCACCAACUUUUCAACAGUGCAAAAGAACAAAUACAUGCCCACGUUCAAGAAGUGAUAGUAUUUAUAUGAUCAGACUAUAAUCAUGCACGAUUUAUUACCACGUGGCUUUGGAAUAGUUCAGUUUACAGAUCUAAGAAAAUUAUUCAAUAUCUGAUGGGAUCGUUCAGAAUAAGAUUAAACUGCUCAAUGCUGUUGUCAAAUACAAAAAAAAGAAAGUAUGAGUGCCAAAGGUAAGUUUUUUUAUAACGUAUUCACAGCAACAAUAAUUGUCACAUCUAAUGUUUAAAUAUAUAACAGUUUCAUGGAGUCUUGACCUUUAUACCUAUUUGAAAACUCUAUUUUAGGGCAAUAACCUUAAAUGUUGAAUGAUUUAAUAUUUUUAAUAUUUUACUUAAGAACAUCUGACAAUGCUGUAUCAUCUUUUGCCUGCCUAAUGUGGAGUAGAAUAUCUCCAUAUCCUACUCAAUGAGCAUUUUGAACGUGUCCGACAGAACGCAGUCUAGUCUCCCAGAAGUUAUCAGUAACGGUGAUAGCAAAAACACCAGAGAGCAGAGCAGAGGGUGCCCCAGGCCUGGGGGAAGCUGUAGAGUAACAGGUGAUGAGUCUGUGUUCGAGGGUCAGACCGCCCACUUUUGAAUCCUAACUUAGCUCACUCUGUAACUUAAUCUAUGUUUGUUUCCAUCCACAACUCGGGAUGCAAGUUUCCUCAGAGGGUUCUUAUGGGAUUCUUGACCCGAUGCCUGAAAAGCACUUAUGCAGAGCCAGACACAUCUUGAAAGCACAAUAAAUCUCUGCUGCUAUUCCUCUGCCCCAUAAUUUCUGUUUGAGCAAAGGUGAGUAAUGUUAACCCUCUGGCAACAUUUUCUCAUCUAUAAAAAAGGGUAUUAAUCAUAGCCGUCUGUAUGGUUGUGAGGAUCUGAUGGUACAGUGGAAAGCUCUGUGUAAACCAUGGCCAAUAUUUAGUAGUUCUUCUUAUUGCUAAUUAAAUGCCCAGAAAUCAAGUGUUAACAGCUAUUCAUUUACCUUAGUAUUUGUUCAAUCUACAUCCGUCACCCUUGAUAUGUGUGUGAGAGGGGUUCUUUCUAAUAGUAUAUUUCAAUAAGUGAAUUAAUGACACUAUAAUAUUCACUGACCAUAUAUUUUACAUAUUAUCGUAUAUGCACUUAUUAAUUGAAACACUGAGUUUAUACUCUGAACUAAGCACAGUUCUAUAUCCUGGGGAAUGUGGCAAUGAAUAAUAUGGAUGGAUUUCCUAAAUAUCAUGGAGUUACUUUGAAGAGAGACAGACAAGAAAAAAAUUAAUAUGUCAAGUGAUGAAUAGCUGUGACCAAAAAUAGAUUAGGGGCCUAAAGAGUGUUAGGGGUGUGGUCAGAGAAGGCUCCUUCUGAGAAGGUGGCAGUUGGCCAGAGAUUUGAAGGAAAUGAGGAUGAAGUCAUGCAGAGGAAAGAGCAAGUGCAAAGUUUCUCAGGUGGGUUCCUGCUUGGCCUAUUAAAUAGACAAUAAAGGAGACAAAGUGGCUGGAGAGAGGCGAGUGAGGGGGAGAUUGGUGGAGACAAGGAUAGAGAGAAAUAUAGAAGGCCCGGUAGGCUGAUGAAGAGGACCCAUCAGUGGGUUACACUCUGAGUGAGAUGGCAGCCUUGGAAGGUUUGAGUGGAGGACUAAUAUGAUCUAACUUACACUGUAGGAGACUCACUGUCUCAGUCCAUUCGGCUGCUAUAGCAAAGAUACCGUAGACUGGGUGGUUUCUGAACAAACAGAAAUUUGUUUCUCACGAUUCUGGAGGCUGAGAAAUCCAGGAUCAAGGUGCUAGCAGAUUCAGUGUCCUGACUCACAGACAGCUCUUUUCGCUGUGUCCUCACAUGACUGACAGGGGAAAGGGAGCUCUCUGGGGGCUCUUUUACAAACAUACUAAUCUCAUGCAAAGACCUAAUCACCUCCCAAAGGCCCCAUCACCAAAUACCAUUACACUAAGCAUUAGGCUUCAACAUGCGAAUUUGGGGGGAUACAAACAUUCAGUCUGUAGGUCUCACCUUGGGUGCCAUGUAGAGAAUAGAUUGCAAGUACAGCAGGUGUGGAAGGAGGGAGAAUCGAUAAGAGGCGAUUGCAAUUGUCUAGGUGAGAAAGCAUGGUGGGUUAGAUUAGAGAGUAGCAAUAGAGAAGACGAAAUGAUUACUGGAAAUGAUUUUGGAAAUAUUUAGAAAGUAGAGCUGGGGGGAUAUACUGUUGGUUUGGAGGUGGGUGGGAAGACAGAAGAAUAAUGCUGAGAAUGACACUAAGACUUUUGGCCAGAACAACUGAGAAUGUAGAAUGGAGAUGCUGUUAAGUAAAGAAGGAACUACUGGAGGAGGAGAAGAUGUAAGGAUAAAAGAAUUCAGCUUUGGACAUGUCAAAUUUGAGCUCCUUGUUAUAAAUUCAAAUGGAAAUGACAAGCAGUAAAUAAAAUAACCAAGUUCAGAGUUCACUGCAGAGGUCCAGACUAGAGAUAGAAACUUUAGGGUCAUCCGCAUGUGGGUGGUGUUUAAAACCCUGACACUAGAAGAGAUCACCAGGAGAGUAAGAGAGAAGUCCAAAAAGGAACCCCUAGGAUGCUCCCAUAUUUAUAGGAUGAGAGCAAAGAAGUUGCUAAGGAAAAAAAAAAAUGUUUCCCUUUCUCCUGUUAAGAUACUGACUACUGAUCUACCAGUGUUUUUUCAAAAGGAGGUUCUCGUGCCAUCUGCCUCAGAAAUAUCUGAGGUGCUUAUUACUAAUAUAGAUGCUUGGUCCCACCGCACACUGACUGAAUCAGAAACUCAGCGAAUGGGGCCUCAGAGUCUGUGUUUUAUUAAGUUUCCCAGAUGAGUCUUGUGCACACAGAAGUUUGAGAAAUAGUGCUUCCAAAAAGUUUUUCUCAUAGCACAUGUAGAAGAUGAUACUUUUGUACAGCACAUUGAGUAAAUAGAUAAAGUGCUGACGUGAGCAGAGGGCACUGGCCUGGAACCCUGGCUGUGAGGCCCUCUGAAAGCCUGAGCGAUCAAUAUGGUGGUAUACCUAUAACCAAUUCGUGUCAAAUGAGAAAGCUGUGACACACGACUGGGCAGCUCUGUUUCAGUCUGUCACACAUAUAAUUAAGGUUUUACAAAACUAUGUUUACGUUUAUACAUUUAUUCUAAUAAAUAUGUGAGUUAUUGAGAUGACUUAAUCAAAGAUUAACUGAUAUUUAAGAUAUCUAUUUCAGUCACAAAGGCAAAUAUUAUAAAAAUAUGCACAAGCAUAAAAUAUGAAUAAUCUAACAUCUAAAGGAAUUCUCAUAGUUUAGAAAUUUACAGUACUGAAUUUUAAGAAAAAUUAAAAAGCUUCUUUAAUUUCCAUAUCACUAAUCAAUUCUCUUUCUUGUUUUUCUUACACAGGCCAUUAAGGACUACAGGUUUUGUUUAACAGCUGUUUUUUUAUGUAUUUAAGCUUAAGGUAAUAUUAAGAUAACAGUUCUUAAAAUCUGUCCAGUAGAGUGUCAACAGUUCCAUGGUUAGUUUGGGACCAGUUAUAUCUCCUUGGUUGUUAACAAUUCAUAUAAUGUUAUGAAGAAAAGGAUUUAAGAUGUUAAAAAUAGACAAACAAAACCCAAAACAGUUUGUUAUUGCUUACCCCAAUAUAUCCCAGAUGUAUUUGAUCAAAUUAACUAUUUUUUUCUGAGGAAUUGUUAAUAUCUCAAAGGUCAGUUACUGUUCCUCCAUGCCCAGUGUUACAUUAAACCUGGUCUGGAAAACGAUUACAACACGACAUGUGAACAGCUCCAAGGUAGUUUAGUAAUCUGCAUAUUAGAUCACUAACUGAAGAGAAGUGACUGAUGAGCAAGGCGGUUAGUCUAAAGGGACCCUCUAGACAAGGUGAAUCUUGGCGAUAAGGAAGGACGAGUUGGUAGAAAGGAAAUGACAGAGCAGAAGGGAGCAGAGAAUUAGGGGAGAUGAACUUGUGUGUAGGGUCUGGAAAUUCGAGUGAAAGGAAGAAUUCUUUGAAAAAAGAAAUAGUAUCAAAACUCAAGUUUAGGAAUUAAAAUAUGUGUAUCUCUGAAAAGUAUUGAGAAAGAUUGUUUGUCAGGGUGAUAUUAGUUACUGACAUUGGGGGCGAGAAACCAGCGAGGUGGCUAUUCCAGGAGAAUAACGUACUAUUGCUGCAUAAUAAACCGACCUAAAACCUGGUGGUUUAAAACAACAGCCGUUUAAUUAGAUCAUGAUUCUUGGGGGUCUGGAGUCUGGGCCAGGUACAGCUGAGUGGUUCUACACGUAUGGCUAGACUCACCAUGUGUUUGCGUUCAGCUGCUGCUCAACUAGAUGGCUCUCCUUCUGAGUUUUCACCGACUGUAUUCUGGGACAGUGAAGGCUCAUAGGGCACAUCUCUCUCAUCAUCCAGAAGGCCAGCCUGAGCUUGGUCAUGUAGUUCACAGGGUAUCAUUACCAGCAGGAGAGGAAGGCCCCUUGAAGUGUAGGGUACAAAUUUGCAUAACAUCACUGCAGCCCAAUACUAUCAGUCAAAGAAAGCACAAGGCAGCCCAGACAUAAGGGAAGUGGAAGCAGACUCCAUCUCUUGAUGGGGGAAGCUAAAAACUAUUGUGUUCUUUUUUGCAUUCUACCAUGGCAGAUGAUAUGGGCUGCAUUGUGGAGAUACCUCAUGAAAUGGGGAGGAAAACAGGAAAUCAAGAGUCUUCUGGAAGGGGCACAGGCAGAAAGGGUAAUAAAGUAAUAUUAUGUCAUAUAUACUGGCAGGACUUGAUAUGGUUAUCCUGUAGCUUUCUCUCAAAUCCAGCCUUUGUAGACUGAGAAGUAAUGAUUAAUACUCUGGCAAGUUUACCAAGGCUUUCUUUAAACUAUAUUUCCUUAAACUUUACCUCCCCAAACCUACCUCUAUAAUGAUUCUAAAUCAUAUUGUCAACGCAAAUAAUCAAUAACCAAUGUAUAGAUAAGAAUAGGGUGAUAUUUAUUGAGCUAAGGACUAGUCUUGAAGCACUCUCUUCCACAGGGAGGAAAGCAUUCCAGGGAAGCCUGGUUGACAGCAUGGUUAUAUACCAUUUCAUAACAAAGAACAUACAUCAAGCAUGACAGGAAUACAAUUUUUUUUCCCCAAAGUCUCAAGGAGAUGUUUCGUUGCAGCUUAGUACAUACAUAGCAGGUCAACUUGACCUUAGUUCUCUGGGAAGAAAAACUUAUCUUCAAAGAAGUACUGGUAUCAGCAUCAGACAGAGGGAGACAUUACAUCCCCAUCUUUAAAGAAUGCAUUCUUUUCUUUUGAGAAGUGUUCGAAGCAGGUGUACAAUGUGUGUUUGGUAGGCCACAAGUCAGGCUACUCUGGGGAAAACAAGUUUUAGGCCAAAUCAAAUUUAAACCAGAAUAGCUUCCCCAUAUACCUCAAUAUGUGAAAACAUGAUUAUUAUUAUUAUUUUCAUCAAUAUGCUCCCCAUAUACUUAUGUUCAAACAGAACUGCUCUCACAUAUGAUGGUGGCCACUGCAGUCAGGGGUAAAACCAGAAUUAAUACGUUCCAUAGAUAUGCUCUUCUUGGUUAUAAACUUAGCAUUUUACAAAAUUUAAAUGUAUAGACUUUGCUAAUAUGAAGCAUAAUGUUCUAAAUGUUUCAAUUUAAAGUUAAUAUUCUAGUGAUGGUCUAGAGGUUAAGAUUUGGUUCUCACUGCCAAGGCCUGGGUUUGUUUCCUGGUCAAGGAACCACACUGCCCAUCUGACGGUUGUCAUACUGUGUAGGCUGUGUGUUGUUAUGAUGCUGAAAGCUAUGCUACCAAUAUUUUAAAUACCAGCAGGGUCACCCAUGGUGGACAGGUUUCAGUGGAGCUUCCAGACUAAGACAGACUAGGAAGAAGGACCUGGUCACCCACUUCUAAAAAAAUUGGCCAUGAAAACCUUAUGAAGGUUUCAAAGCAGUGGAACAUUGUCUGAUAUAGUGCGGGAAGGUAAGAGGAGGGCACGGAAAGAUGGGGCAGGAUCCAUCUGCUGUACCCAGGGUCUCUGGGAGUUGGAAUCGACCCAACGGCACCAACACCAACAACAAAACAUUCUAGAGCUAAAACUCCAGAUACUUUCAACAAACCCUGGGAUGUGUGGGAAAUGGAGAAGAUGAGUGUAAGCUGGCUUAAAAUCUUAUACAAUUUUCAGAGGAAUUUUAUAGAUACAGAUUUGUUCUUUUAAAAUAUUCCUUUUAACAGGUAAUAUGUGUACAACAUACAAAAUUAGAAAUUCUAAAGAUUAUGUGGUGAAAAGUACCAUUCCUUUCAGUUCCCUGAUUCACUAAUUCCUCUCACUGGAUGAACCACAGUUACUAAUUUCUUGUGUAUUCCUACAGAAUUAUAUAUGUCUUCUUUGUUUCCAUCUUCAUCUUCCCUUUUUACUUAAGAGGCAGUCUACUACGUCUACCGUUCAGCACCUUGCUUUUCCCUAGUCAAGCUAUUCACAAGUUAUCUCAUAAAUUAGUCUAUGUGAAAUCAGUCAGAGAACAGCAAGUUAUCUCUUUUUUUUUUGAACUGCUAUCUUUAUCUUCAAUUAUAUAUCAAAAUGGAAUCAGUCCUUUAUUGAAGGACAGCUAUACUCUCCAACAUUUUGUAUUUAUAAACCAUGCUAAAAUGAAUGUUCACAUUUAAUGACACAUUUAAAUGAAUGACACAUUAAAAAUAUGUCAUUUCUUACACUUGCUGGUAUAUCUGUGGAAAGAAUCCUAGGACUAGAAUUGCUGGUGUUAAAAAGAGUGUAUGCAUUUGUCAUUUUGAAAAAUAAUCCCAUACUGCUAUCAAUCAAGACCCUAUGCUAUAUACAAUUUUUAAGUCUUUUUUAUGGUCAAAUUUACAGAAUCUUUCUCUUUAUGGCUUCUGAGCUUUGUGUCAUACUUAGGAUUUUUUUUCUCCAAGAUUACAAAUUUCUCAUUUCUCAUUUUAUUAUGUUAGUUAUUUACUUUUAUCAUAUAUAUUAUCUAAUUUGUUGGUUUAAUUGGUUAAUCUACCUAGCAUUUAUUUUGAUGUAGAAAUCUUAUUUUUUUUUCAGCUGUCUACUCAGGUGGCCCAAGCCAUUUAUUAACUAAUGCAUAUUUUUAUCAGUGAUUUUAAAUACUAUCUUUAUCAUCCUGGUUAACUUUUGAUAUUGUUUUCUUUCUUGUCGUUUAUUCACUAAUACCUCUUCUGUUAUAUUAGAUAGCAAACACUGGUUUUUGCACAGGAAUCUACGGCUCAGUAGAGAAAGCAAGUGUCGUAAUUUGGCAAGGUCAAUAAGGCAGGUCUGAGUAUGGAGUUGCCACUGAAAAAGAAGAAAGAAGAGUAAUGAACCCAGAGUAAAACAUAAGAAAAGCAGUAUCCAAGACAAAGAAGGUUCUAUGCAUACGUUUACAUGUAAUCAUAUAGACACCUCCACACACAUACACAUAUAAUAGGAUAAACGAGAAAAACCAUGACCCUUGUGGGAAGGGAAAGAUAGAGAGGGAUUUAUGAAUAACAUAAAAUCUAUAAAUUCGGAUGAGAUUUACGCUUGGUGUUGGGGUCCGUAGUGGCCACAAUCAAUAGCAUCUCCCCUCCCUACUCAGGUUAUGAAGCAAAAUUUAUCUUUUAUUACUAAGAGAGGCAAGAUUAGAAAACAUGGCUUUAAGGCAGUUAAGAAAGAGGGUUUACUAGUCCUGAGCUCCAGAAUUUUUUAGAUUUAACCACCUAGUCAAGGCAGCACAAGGCUGCAGAAGCUUCCCUUGGAGAAGAGCCACUUCUCUUGAUGGCAGCAAAACCAACACUCACUGUAGGCAUUCUGUUCCCCAGAGGAACAAGGAUAGAAAAGACAGAGCUUGUCCAGAUGUUUCCAAAGAUAAACACUGCUCCAGGUAACUCAAAGAGAAGCAGAGCGAGUAAAGGGGCAGAGAAAGACAAAAAGAGUAUCCAAAUUGAUCCUCUGGGAAACGAGGAGGAUGAAAAAGUGUUUCUUUUACCAUUAGACUUCUAGGUCUAAUGAAUGAUGAGAGAAAUGAUCCCUGAAAUAGAACAAGAAGGCAUCAGUUACAGCAUGCGAAACAAUUAAAUGUCUGAUCAUUUGGGUCAAGGAAUGAGGAGUGAUCUUGUGGAUGCUGUUAGGAACGGCGCAAUGAGCCAGGAUUUUGGUGUUAUGGAAAUGGGAAAGUGCUUACUGAAAAUCUGUAGGACUAAAUAGGUAAAAACACAAAGUUUAAUGUCAAUGACCACAAAGAAGAAAAGCAUGAUAGACACUUUCGUUAUUUAGAUGUAUCUAAAAAGAACUCUGUGAUGUCUAUGUUAAUAAUACAGCUUUAGAGAUUAAAAUUAUGCCCUGAUUGUGGACAGUUUUCACCCAGAUAUACACACACACACUCACACACAGGCACUCACAUACACUGAUUUUACUGGCCUAACUUAACAUCCCACAAGGUAAUCAUUAACUGUUAUCCUUAAUGCCAAGAAAGUUCUGGAAACUCUGGAAGCUUACUAAGCUUCAAAUAUGUAACUUACUGCUUGCAAUAGUAUUUGAAUGGUUGCUUCCAGAAGUUAAAUGAAAAGAAAACAAUGGCAACCACUUAGUGACAGAAUCCUGGACCUGGAAAUACACAGUGGUCUCCAGGAGCACCAUUUUCUGCUUUUCUAACUGUGCUGCUUAUGCAAAUUCUGUGACUUUCUUGAGCUUCUAUUCACAUAGUUUAAAAAGGUAUAAAUAUAUAUUAAAACACAUGGUCCAUCACUAGCUAAAUCCACCUUAUGCCCCACCUCUUCAUCAGAACCCUCUAUUCAGUAUACAAUUUAGCAACAGAAGUAUUUUUAAUCCUAAGAAUUUCCAAAUAAUGACGGAAGCAGUAAUAAGUGAUACCUGGUUUUAUUAAUCUCAUUUGUACCACCCACCAGUUAAUUUCACAAAAAUGAGAUUGCAUAAGGCUGAACUGAAGGAUCAGUUUGCUUAACUACAAUCUUAGAUUAAAUAAAUUACUUCAUUCUAUUCUAAACUUUGGAAUUCAUGUUUUUAUUAAUUUAAAGCAUAAAACCUGCAAAAACUAUAUAAGGAAGUUAAUUUGUAGUGACAUCAUCGUAUGACACAUCUAUUACUGUAUCAUUAAUCAAUAGAUUUGUACUUGUGUAAAUUGUAAGGCAAAUAUACUUUUUUGAUGUCUGUCUGAAAGAUGCUUGUACACGUAGUGUUAGAUAGAUUAGAUUAGAGUAUGUGAUUUCUUUGUUGCUCAUUUCUUGAAGUCAGUGGUUCUCAAAAUGUGAUACCCAGACCCGCAACAUCAGCAUCACUUGGAAACUUGGAAAGGCAAAAUCAACCCCCACUCCAGAACUCCUGAGUCAGAAGUCCUGGGGAUUGGGACCCGAAGUCUGUGUUAUAACAGGUUCUUCAGGUGAUUCUGAUGGAUGCCCAAGUUUGAGAACUACAGCUUUAUGUGACUCAACGCUAUUCUAAAAUUCUCUCCAUCAAUAAGAGAAGCUGAAAUUGGGUCAGAAAAACCCAGAUAAUGCAUCCCAGAGAUUCCUAAUGACAUAGCAGUAGUAAAUUAUAGUGUCGUAUUGAAUGUUUCUUUUAAGUAAAUAAAUAUUUUGAGGGGAGUUUUGCCCCUUUCUUUCUCUGGAGAAGACAGGUUUAGGAUUCAAAUGUAUAUACAAUGCAGAAUGAAAGGAUGCCUACGCAAUUAGUACUUCAGAGCAAGACUAAAAGGCAUAGUCAUAUCUGUUGGAACCCACUGAAUACAGUUUUUAUAUAUUUUACACAUUGUUCUUUCAUAUGGUUCUUUACAUAUUAUUCUCUCAUUCUCCCAAAAUAAAUUAGCUCACCAGUACUUUUUAGAGGAAUAUUUUUCAGGAUUAUCUUGCCUUGGGUGUUAGGACAGCCAAAGGAGCAAGGAUGAGAUGUCACAAAAAAAGCAGCUCUAAGCUCUGCCCAAAGCAUGUUGCCUUAGAAUAAUUAUCAAGUAGUUCUCUUGGUGUAGAUGAAAAAACACCUAGGUGUCAGGUCCAAAAAGAUGCUGACAGUUUGUACAGCUUCCUGGGAAAUGAGUAGGCACCCUCUGUAGAACUAAUGUAAUAUUGUUUGCAGGAUUGUGUCCUGUUGCUGUUCUUCUUCUUUCCUUAAUGGCUACAUAGUACUUCCUUUUACAAUGUAUAAUAAUUUAGUCAGUCAAUUCUCUGUUGUUCCCAUUAUCUGGGAUAUCAUGAAUAUUGCUUUUUCAAGCACUCUUCUGCUUAGAUCUUUGUUUGAUGAUUUUCCCCUCAAGAUGUAUUUCUUUCAAUAACAUCUCUGUGCCAAAAGGCAUGUAUAUUUUUAAAGCUUUUGAUACAUAUUGUAUAUUGCCCCCUAGACACCUGUUACUAAUUAACAAUUCAAUUUUUAGGAUGUACCUUUUAUUUACAUGCAUGCUAACACUAGAUAGUGCCGGGAGCCGUCAGCCUACAAGUUAAGCCUCUGCCUUGUGACACGGUCCGGGAGAGAGAUGAGGGGACGCACAGCGAUCCUCAAGGGAAUCUACCAGGCUUCCCCUGCAAUAAGUCUCCCUGGUACUUUUGACUUUCCUGCUUCUGCUCACUCUGUUCUGCACCUGGGGUUAUUUCAGGGGAAGUCAGCCUGGCCCUGGGAAUGAGAAUGAUACAAUGCAAUAUUCUAGAGAAAGUUCUGGGGAAAAACAUCUUCUAGGGAAAGAACAUUUUGACCUGUCCUUUGGUUGGGUGGAGCCAUGGGAGUGGAGAGCGAACAAAGAAAUCUGUGGCCCCCACAGAUCUCUCUAGGAGGACGGUGGUUGCCACGGCCCACUAAAUCAGGAGGCCGCUGGGGGUGGCCUCCUUGAAGUAAAGGAUUGCAGAAGCUUGACUCCCCCCAGGCCUACACACAAUCAAUUGCUCUUAGGACUAUUGUCUACCUUGCAAUCAAUUGCUCUUAGGACUAUUGUCUACUUUACAAAAAGCCGCUUACGUGAGCCAAAAAAAUAUACUGGGACUGUUUCAUGAAAUCAUCCUUGCAUAUCCUGAGCCCUAUAUAAAUCAUGCAUACACAAAAUAAAGUUAGACUUGGACACCAAACUCCUUGUCUCACUGCCUCCUCCUUCGCCGACACCGUCCAUCCUCAGGAGACCCUGUUCCGGCUGGGGCUGGACCCCGGCAAGAUAGUAGGAUGGCAGAACAGAUUAAGCAACAAUAUGAGGAUGUAACAAUGAACGUGGCUUAUCCAGGGAAUGGUGAGAAGACCUGUUUAAAGACUUGAAGGGAUUUGAAGUCGCCCAAUAAAUGAUAUCCCUUUCUCCAACACACCUUGGGACCCAUUGAAGGAAGUCAAGAAAAUGGAAGUAAAGACAUGUUGGAGGACCUGGAUGGCCAUAAGGGACAUCUUUCUUUUUUUUAAAGAUUGGCACCUGAGCUAACAUCUGUUGCCAAUCUACACUUUUUUUUGUUUAUUUUAUUUUGUUUUGUUUUCUUCUUAUUCUCCCCAAAGCCCCCCA